rnacentral:rRNA from 1 species
UACGAAGGGGGCUAGCGUUGCUCGGAAUCACUGGGCGUAAAGCGCACGUAGGCGGACUCUUAAGUCGGUGGUGAAAUCCUGGAGCUCAACUCCAGAACUGCCUUCGAUACUGAGAGUCUUGAGUCCGGGAGAGGUGAGUGGAAUUCCCAGUGUAGCGGUGAAAUGCGUAGAUAUUGGGAGGAACACCAGUGGCGAAGGCGGCUCACUGGACCGGUACUGACGCUGAUGCGCGAAAGCGUGGGGAGCAAACGGG